CGUGUAGGCGGGUAUAUAAGUCAGAAGUGAAAUCCUAUAGCUUAACCAUAGAACUGCUUUUGAAACUGUAUACCUAGAAUGUGGGAGAGGUAGAUGGAAUUUCUGGUGUAGGGGUAAAAUCCGUAGAGAUCAGAAGGAAUACCGAUUGCGAAGGCGAUCUACUGGAACAUUAUUGACGCUGAGACGCGAAAGCGUGGGGAGCAAACA
rnacentral:rRNA from 1 species